rnacentral:rRNA from 1 species
AAAUGAAUAGACGGGGGCCCGCACAAGCGGAGGAACAUGUGGUUUAAUUCGAUGAUACGCGAGGAACCUUACCCGGGCUUGAAAUGCAGAAGACCGAAGUGGAAACACUUCUUCCAGCAAUGGCUUCUGUGUAGGUGCUGCAUGGUUGUCGUCAGCUCGUGCCGUGAGGUGUCGGCUUAAGUGCCAUAACGAGCGCAACCCUUGCCGGUAGUUACAAACAGGUUAUGCUGUGGACUCUACCGGGACUGCCAUCGUAAGAUGCGAGGAAGGUGGGGAUGACGUCAAAUCAGCACGGCCCUUACGUCCGGGGCGACACACGUGUUACAAUGGGUGGUACAGCGGGUUGCUACCGGGUGACCGGAUGCCAAUCUCUUAAAUCCACUCUCAGUUCGGAUCGAAGUCUGCAACUCGACUUCGUGAAGCUGGAUUCGCUAGUAAUCGCGCAUCAGCCACGGCGCGGUGAAUACGUUCCCGGGCCUUGCACACACCGCCCGU